AUAUUGGUCAAUGGGCGCAAGCCUGAACCAGCCAUGCCGCGUGAAGGAAGACGGCCCUAUGGGUUGUAAACUUCUUUUGUCAGGGAAUAAACGAUGGUACGCGUACCGUCCUGAAGGUACCUGAAGAAUAAGCAUCGGCUAACUCCGUGCCAGCAGCCGCGGUAAUACGGAGGAUGCAAGCGUUAUCCGGAUUCAUUGGGUUUAAAGGGUGCGCAGGCGGAUUGGUAAGUCAGGGGUGAAAUCCCACAGCUCAACUGUGGAACUGCCUUUGAUACUGUCAGUCUAGAGUAUAGUUGAAGUUGGCGGAAUGUGUCAUGUAGCGGUGAAAUGCUUAGAUAUGACACAGAACACCGAUCGCGAAGGCAGCUGACUAAGCUAUAACUGACGCUCAUGCACGAAAGCGUGGGGAUCAAACAGG
rnacentral:rRNA from 1 species